GAUGAACGCUGGCGGCGUGCUUAACACAUGCAAGUCGAGCGAAGCAGUUAAGAAGAUUCUUCGGAUGAUUCUUGACUGACUGAGCGGCGGACGGGUGAGUAACGCGUGGGUGACCUGCCCCAUACCGGGGGAUAACAGCUGGAAACGGCUGCUAAUACCGCAUAAGCGCACAGAGCUGCAUGGCUCGGUGUGAAAAACUCCGGUGGUAUGGGAUGGGCCCGCGUCUGAUUAGGCAGUUGGCGGGGUAACGGCCCACCAAACCGACGAUCAGUAGCCGGCCUGAGAGGGCGACCGGCCACAUUGGGACUGAGACACGGCCCAAACUCCUACGGGAGGCAGCAGUGGGGAAUAUUGCACAAUGGGGGAAACCCUGAUGCAGCGACGCCGCGUGAGCGAAGAAGUAUUUCGGUAUGUAAAGCUCUAUCAGCAGGGAAGAUAAUGACGGUACCUGACUAAGAAGCCCCGGCU
rnacentral:rRNA from 1 species